CGUUUGCCAAUAAGCAGUGAUCAGUUUCUUUUGUUUGUUUUUCUAUUGUUUACCUACUAUAUAAGAUGAUGACUUACCUCCAAAACGCUUUAAAACUUUCGUUUAUAAUUCUAAGUGUGUUUAUAAUUAAAGAGCAGUGAAAUAAAAUGAAUUCUUCAAGAAAGGCAGCACCCAUGACAAAAGAUGAGACGAUGAUUCUAGCAGAACUUGUGGCGGCGAAAAAACAUUUCAAUAAUAAGGCAACAAAUGCCACAAACAAUAAAUUGAAGGAGCAGGCUUGGCAAACCCUUGUAAAUGAUUUUAAUUCGUCGAUUCGUCGUUUCCCACGAACUCCAUCGCAGCUUCGACUAAAAUGGGAAAACUUAAAGAACGCUACGGCAACAUAAGAAACAACCUUAUAAGUAAGGCUGGAGGUGGUAAGGAUUGCAGAUGAAAUUUUGGAUAAAGCAUGCACAUUGUUGUAGGUCACAUAUAAUAUUUUUAACACUUUUACAGCCAAGCGGAAACAAGAUGGAAGAAAAGAAAUGCAAGGCUAGCAUAGGGACAAUGCAUUAGCAGAAUAUCUAAUAGCAAAAAAGGGACUUGACUUGGAAAAUAAAGAAAAGGAGAUUGUUGUAGCAAAAGUUAAGUUAGAUUUAGAUAAUUUAAAAAAUUAUAAAUUACUUAAAAGGAAUAUUAAAUUUCAUAAAUUAAGUAGGCAAUAAUAAUUUUAUGUUAGAUAGUUUUUUAAGUAUAUGUACAAAUUCUAAAUUAAAUAUCUUGCAUGUACUAACUACCAUGUAAUUAUCAUUUUGGAAAAAAAAAAAUAGUCAAAUUAU